rnacentral:tRNA from 1 species
AUUUAAAUAGUUUAUUUUAAAAUAUUAGUUUGUGGGACUAAAGAUGUAAGGUUUACUUUAAAUU